rnacentral:rRNA from 1 species
GGAAUAUUGCACAAUGGGGGAAACCCUGAUGCAGCGACGCCGCGUGAGCGAAGAAGUAUUUCGGUAUGUAAAGCUCUAUCAGCAGGGAAGAAAAAAUGACGGUACCUGACUAAGAAGCACCGGCUAAAUACGUGCCAGCAGCCGCGGUAAUACGUAUGGUGCAAGCGUUAUCCGGAUUUACUGGGUGUAAAGGGAGCGCAGGCGGUGCGGCAAGUCUGAUGUGAAAGCCCGGGGCUCAACCCCGGUACUGCAUUGGAAACUGUCGUACUAGAGUGUCGGAGGGGUAAGUGGAAUUCCUAGUGUAGCGGUGAAAUGCGUAGAUAUUAGGAGGAACACCAGUGGCGAAGGCGGCUUACUGGACGAUUACUGACGCUGAGGCUCGAAAGCGUGGGGAGCAAACA